UAUAAUUUAAUUUGAGUUAAAUUGAUUAUUAAAUAAAAUUUUAAAUAAAAAAUUUGUAUGUUAAAUUAUAUAAUAGAAAUAAUAAAUUUAAUUAUAGUAGAUUAGUAUUGUGAAAGAACUUUGAGUGUAUAAGUUAAAGAAGUAUUAAUUUUAUGUACCUUGGGUAUCAGGGUUUAUUAAAAAAAAAUAAUAUUGAAAUUAUUUUCUCGAUUUUAAAAGAUUUAUUUUUUUAUAUAUUUUAUUGUAGAAAAAAUAUUUUUUAUAAAAAAAUAGUAAUGAAAAGUUAUUCGUUUUUAAAUAUAUCUAGUUUUUUAAGAAAAAAAUUUAAUUUUAUUUAUUUUACAUAUAAUUUUUACUUUAGAAAUAUUUAUUUAGUGAAUAAAUUAUAUAAUUAGGGAUAAGCUUAUUUAUAAAUUUUUAAAAUUAAUAAUAAAGAAGUUAAAUUUUGUAGGAUUAGUAAUUUUCAUCAAAUAGUUUGUUUUAAUUAUAUUUAAAAAUAUAAAAAAAAAUUUAGUUGUUAGUUUAAAUAUUUUAUUAAAAAUUAAAAUUUAAUUAAUUAAUUUUAAAUAUAAUGAUAGAAUUAGUAAAUAUAUUAUUGUAAUAAAUAAAAUUUAAAGUUAGGUUUUAGAGAGGAAUUCGGCAAAUUUAUAUUAUUCGCCUGUUUAAUAAAAACAUGUCUUAUAGAUUAUAAUUUUAGGUUUAAUCUGCCCUAUGAAAUUUUAAAUGGCCGCAGUAUUUUGACUGUGCAAAGGUAGCAUAAUCAAUUGUUUCUUAAUUAGAAACUAGAAUGAAUGAUUGGACGAGAUAAUAACUGUCUUUUUAUAAGUAAAGAUGAAUUUUAUUUUUAAGUAAAAAAGCUUAAAUUUUUUUAAAAGACGAGAAGACCCUAUAGAGUUUUAUAAUUUUAUAUGUAAUUUUUUGGUUUUAUAAAAUUAAUUAUAACAUUAUUUUAUUGGGGUGAUAAAAAAAAUUAAAUAACUUUUUUUUAUAUAACAUUAAUAUAUGAAAAAUUGAUCCAUAAUUUAUGAUUAAAAGAUUAAAUUACCUUAGGGAUAACAGCGUAAUUUUUUUUGAGAGUUCUUAUCGAUAAAAAAGAUUGCGACCUCGAUGUUGGAUUAAAAUAAAUAAUUGGUGUAGAAGCUAAUUAAUUAAGUCUGUUCGACUUUUAAAAUUUUACAUGAUCUGAGUUUAGACCGGUGUGAGCCAGGUUGGUUUCUAUCUUUAAAAAUAUUAAAUAUUUUAGUACGAAAGGACCAAAUAUUUGUAAUAAUUAUAUUUUUGAUGUUAAUUAAUAAUA
rnacentral:rRNA from 1 species